rnacentral:rRNA from 1 species
GACGAACGCUGGCGGCGUGCUUAACACAUGCAAGUCGAACGGUGAAGCCCUUCGGGGUGGAUCAGUGGCGAACGGGUGAGUAACACGUGAGCAACCUGCCCCUGGCUCUGGGACAACCACUGGAAACGGUGGCUAAUACCGGAUACGACCCGCCUCGGCAUCGAGUGUGGGUGGAAAGUUUUUCGGCUGGGGAUGGGCUCGCGGCCUAUCAGCUUGUUGGUGAGGUGAAGGCUCACCAAGGCGACGACGGGUAGCCGGCCUGAGAGGGCGACCGGCCACACUGGGACUGAGACACGGCCCAGACUCCUACGGGAGGCAGCAGUGGGGAAUAUUGCACAAUGGGCGAAAGCCUGAUGCAGCUACGCCGCGUGAGGGAUGACGGCCUUCGGGUUGUAAACCUCUUUCAGCUCCGAAGAAGCGAAAGUGACGGUAGGAGCAGAAGAAGCACCGGCUAACUACGUG